rnacentral:lncRNA from 1 species
GACAGGGAGCCUCUGUCUCUUUUAUUCACCGCAGUGCCUGGCACAUACUGGAUACUCAGAGAAUGCUUGUUCAAUGAACACAAACAUCAAUGCUGCAAGGCCAAUGAGAUUCAGCCAUUUUUCAAAUGAAUAAGCUCAGGCUUGGAAAGAGGUGAGUACGGGACAGAGCAGGAAUUGAUUUCAGCGACUGCACCGAGCUGUGAGGGACAGUGGCUGGGUGACCUGGGAAGUCACCUCUUCUAGGACCUCAUGCACUGGGAAUGUGCCCUAAUCCAGGGGAUGAGGACCAACUUAGCAGGGAAGAAAAUAAAACCAAGAGAAAAAGGCCACUCUGACUUGCUCUGGACAUUUCCUGUGGGAAACAGAUGUCAGGAUUAAAAGGAAAGAGCAGGUGUGAGGUCUCACUCGUUCAUACUCCGGCAUCACAGAAUCCUUUGAGGAGGCACGUGGGGCCAACCUAGACAGGCUAUCAAUAAUCAAGGUCCUUCCAGAUGCACGAAACAGGCCUUAGAGCCUCAGAGCUGCAGGAGAUUUUCAUGCCUGCCCCUUGGGCACAUCCCAAGAUCAGGAGCUCACUCCUUCCAAGGCAGCCGAGCUGUUAGUUUUUCUGUUCACUUUAAUCAACAGAACGUAUUUGAUUCUUUCGGGUCAGCAGCGACUUUCUUGUAGUUGAUGUUUUUCAGACACUUGUUCUAGUUUUGGACUUCUGGGGGCACAUUGAACAGACUAAUUCCUGCUCCCUAGAUCAGCCCUUCUGAGACAGAAGGUCACGGUGGCUGAGAAGCUGAACUUCCCAGGAAGCACAUUCUCGGCAGGCCUGCCCUGUGAUCUCACCUGCAAGGGGACAAUUUGGAAAUCAAGUAUUAUGGCUUAGCAAUUCGGGGGCUGAUUCUCUGAGGCCACAGCCUUCUCCUUGCUCACCCAGAGUAAUGCCAGUUCGAAACGGCCAGCCCGACUUCUCUUCUGACUUCCAAACUCAAACUUGCAUUUUCUUGUUACUUUAGCAACAUUGAUUCAAGCACUUGUGUGUGCCAGGUAUGAUGCCACACCUUGAGGAUAGAAUAAUGAAGAAGAUAUAGCCCCUGGUCUCGGGGAGUUCAUAGUCUUUGUGGAAAGGCUGACAAGUCCACAAGGUAUUAAAACCCAGCAGGAUCCAGGCUGGAAUGAAGGCAACUCUCAAGGGCACAGGCCGUGGGCACCGAGGAGGACCUGACACACCCCGUGGGAUGCAAGGAGGACACCCUGGAGGAGGCAAGGCCAAUGCUGCCAAUUUCCCAUUGCCUACCGGGGAGUUCAGUCUGCAACCUCAAGCACAAAGGCGUAGAAGAGAAGAGAAGCAACAUGCCCUUGGAGUCCACAGAAUAUGGAAACUAGCCUGACUGGAGUUGAAGGUCUCUUGAGGAUUUAUGUAGUAGGUACUUGCUGUAUUAGUCUGUUCUCACACUGUUAUAAGGACAUAUCUGAAACUGGG